rfam:Felis catus isolate Cinnamon breed Abyssinian chromosome B2, whole genome shotgun sequence.
GCCUGGGUGGCUCAGUCGGUUAAGCAUCUGACGUCAGCUCAGGCCAUGAUCUCAUGGUUUGUGAGUUCGAGCCCCACUUCAGGUG